rnacentral:lncRNA from 12 species
GGGGAGCCGGAGGGGGAGGCCGAGGUCUACGGGUCUGGGAAGGGAGGGUUCUUCGGGGUUCUCUGGGAUACGGAGACCGAGGCUCCCACCGCCAGAAACGACGGGGCAGUUCCGCCCGUCGCGCCUCUACUCCAGGAGUCCCGGGGGACACGGCGACACCUCAGUCCGAGGCUCAAUCACCCAGCUCUCGGGAGUUGGCCGAGGCUGGACAAAAGAUGUGGCCGCUCUCUCCUCAACGCACCCCCAGAUCCCGAGCGUGCCCGUGAGGAAGGCCUGCGCGCGUGCGGGAGAAAGGCCGUCGCUGCCCACGGCGCGCUGCGGGCCCCGCCCUGCCCUCCGCGGCCCCGCAGAGACGCGCCACGCGAGGGCCGCGGAGUCCGUGUCAGCUCGCCGCCGGCGAGGGGCGGGGCCGGGCGGGGCCGCGAGCGCGCAGGCGCAGUGCGGGCUUCCUCGCGCCGCCGCCGCCACUGCCGCCGCUGCCGCCGCCGCCGCCGCCGCCGCCCGCGCUGCACCACAGGCCGGGAGACAGACACGGCCGAGAAGACCCGGAGACUGAGGAGGAAGAGGCGGAGACGGAGGCGGCGGCGGAGGCGGGGCGACUCCGGUGACCGGGAGCGCCGCAGACUGGCAGCUGCGGCGACUCCCCCCUUUGUGUCUGGUCUGCUCGGAGCCACUAGAAGUGCUGCCCGGAGGGUGCGGGGUGUCUCGCCGCCUCGUCGCCCACCCCCCACCUCCCCAGCCGGCCGCCCCCCCGCCCUCGGCCCGCGACGCCCGAGCUCCGCCCGGAGCCCAGAGCUGCGGGAGAACGAGGCGGCGGCGGCGGCGGCGGCAGCAGCGGCUUCCUCAGGGAAGGGGUUGCGAUUCGCUCAAAAGAGCCAUGACGGGAGGAGACGAGGCUUUUCUUCGUGGGAUUUACCUCAGGCAAGACCGAGCGGCUGCAAUAAAGAGAGAGAGAGGAGCGAACCCGGGAGGGUGGAGAGGGCAGCUCCCGCACCUCGGGAGCUCGGCGCCCGGCCUGCUGCCCCUCCCCUCCCCUCCCCUCCCCCGCCGCCCGCCGCCCGCCGCCCGCCGCCCUCCGGCCGGGCCCGGGCACGGCCUCGCGGGACUGUUCGCCGAGGGCUUGAGGGCUGUGGGUCGGUCCAUGGAGGCCGGCACCUCUGA